GCUCCUUUCAGAGUUUCUACCGAGGAGGGAAGUGGAAGCAGUAGAAAGAGGCAAAAGAUAAUAGUUGGUUCUGUCGAUAUUGUAUUGAACAGUGAAGAUGAAGAUACGCUAAAGGUAUGCGAGAUUUACGAAAAGAAAGGUAAAGAUCGUGCAGCACCCUCGACGACCAAGACAGCUGCAGUUGUCACCUAUGCUCCAUCAGUGUCUCUUCUCCCUAUGAGGCCACCUACUGGUGGUACAUUUGGGGUAUUCCAAAAUGUAGAACCCAUUCUUCAUAGGAGCUCAUUGAAGUUAGUGUC
rnacentral:lncRNA from 1 species